rnacentral:rRNA from 1 species
GAUGAACGCUGGCGGCGUGCCUAAUACAUGCAAGUCGAGCGAACAGAUGAGGAGCUUGCUCCUCUGACGUUAGCGGCGGACGGGUGAGUAACACGUGGAUAACCUACCUAUAAGACUGGGAUAACUUCGGGAAACCGGAGCUAAUACCGGAUAAUAUAUUGAACCGCAUGGUUCAAUAGUGAAAGACGGUUUUGCUGUCACUUAUAGAUGGAUCCGCGCCGCAUUAGCUAGUUGGUAAGGUAACGGCUUACCAAGGCAACGAUGCGUAGCCGACCUGAGAGGGUGAUCGGCCACACUGGAACUGAGACACGGUCCAGACUCCUACGGGAGGCAGCAGUAGGGAAUCUGCCGCAAUGGGCGAAAGCCUGACGGAGCAACGCCGCGUGAGUGAUGAAGGUCUUCGGAUCGUAAAACUCUGUUAUUAGGGAAGAACAAAUGUGUAAGUAACUAUGCACGUCUUGACGGUACCUAAUCAGAAAGCCACGGCUAACUACG